UACGUAGGGUGCGAGCGUUGUCCGGAAUCACUGGGCGUAAAGCGCACGUAGGCGGCUUCUUAAGUCAGGGGUGAAAUCCUGGAGCUCAACUCCAGAACUGCCUUUGAUACUGAGGAGCUCGAGUCCGGGAGAGGUGAGUGGAACUCCGAGUGUAGAGGUGAAAUUCGUAGAUAUUCGGAAGAACACCAGUGGCGAAGGCGGCUCACUGGCCCGGUACUGACGCUGAGGUGCGAAAGCGUGGGGAGCAAACAGG
rnacentral:rRNA from 1 species